rnacentral:lncRNA from 1 species
CUACACAAGAGUCUGGUCUGGAUACUGUGAGUACCACGCGCUAGCUUUACUGACCCUGGACUAGACAAGAGUCUGGUCUGGAUAUUGUGAGUACCACACGCUAGGUUUACUGAUCCGGAACUACACAAGAGUCUGGUCUGGAUACUGUGAGUACCACACGCUAGCUUUACUGAUCCUGGACUAGACAAGAGUGUGGUCUGGAUACUGUGAGUACCACGCGCACUAGCUUUACUGAUCCUGGACUAGACAAGAGUCUGGUCUGGAUACUGUGAGUACCACACGCUAGCUUUACUGAUCCGGAACUACACAAGAGUCUGGUCUGGAUACUGUGAGUACCACGCGCUAGCUUUACUGAUCCUGGACUAGACAAGAGUCUGGUCUGGAUACUGUGAGUACCACGCGCUAGCUUUACUGAUCCUGGACUAGACAAGAGUCUGGUCUGGAUACUGUGAGUACCACACGCUAGCUUUACUGACCCUGGACUAGACUAGAGUCUGGUCUGGAUACUGUGAGUACCACACGCUAGUAAUUACACUAGCUUUACUGAUCCGGAACUACACAAGAGUCUGGUCUGGAUACUGUGAGUACCACGCGCUAGCUUUACUGAUCCUGGACUAGACUAGAGUCUGGUCUGGAUACUGUGAGUACCACGAGCUAGGUUUACUGACCCUGGACUAGACAAGAGUCUGGUCUGGAUACUGUGAGUACCACACGCUAGCUUUACUGACCCUGGACUAGACUAGAGUCUGGUCUGGAUACUGUGAGUACCACGAGCUAGGUUUACUGAUCCGGAACUACACAAGAGUCUGGUCUGGAUACUGUGAGUACCACACACUAGCUUUACUGACCCUGGACUAGACAAGAGUCUGGUCUGGAUACUGUGAGUACCACACGCUAGCUUUACUGAUCCUGGACUAGACAAGAGUCUGGUCUGGAUACUGUGAGUACCACACACUAGUAAUUACACUAGCUUUACUGAUCCUGGACUAGACAAGAGUCUGGUCUGGAUACUGUGAGUACCACACACUAGCUUUACUGACCCUGGACUAGACUAGAGUCUGGUCUGGAUACUGUGAGUACCACACGCUAGCUUUACUGACCCUGGACUAGACUAGAGUCUGGUCUGGAUACUGUGAGUACCACACACUAGCUUUACUGACCCUGGACUAGACUAGAGUCUGGUCUGGAUACUGUGAGUACCACACGCUAGCUUUACUG